rnacentral:rRNA from 1 species
CUAUCGUUGUUCGGAAUCACUGGGCGUAAAGCGCACGUAGGCGGAUCUUUAAGUCAGGGGUGAAAUCCUGGAGCUCAACUCCAGAACUGCCUUUGAUACUGAGGAUCUUGAGUUCGGGAGAGGUGAGUGGAACUGCGAGUGUAGAGGUGAAAUUCGUAGAUAUUCGCAAGAACACCAGUGGCGAAGGCGGCUCACUGGCCCGAUACUGACGCUGAGGCACGAAAGCGUGGGGCGCAAACAGG